AACCAACCAAAAGAGAUUUAUCGUCGAAGAGGUUGGGGAAGCGCGUAAUUGCUCGAAGUGCGAGCGUGUGUGUUAUUACUCUACUACAUCAUAAAUAAAAAAGAGGUGACGAAGCACAAUUAGCGUAACAUAAGGACUACAUCAUAAAUAAAAAAGAGGUGACGAAGCACAAUUAGCGUAACAUAAGGGAAAGCAGCUAGCGCGAAACGAAAGCAAGGGCGUCAGCUACUUCGUUCCUCUGUCCACGCGUGGACUAGACCGAUUGAAAAGAUGUUCA
rnacentral:lncRNA from 1 species